rnacentral:rRNA from 1 species
GACGAACGCUGGCGGCGUGCCUAACACAUGCAAGUCGAGCGAUGAAGCCCUUCGGGGUGGAUUAGCGGCGGACGGGUGAGUAACACGUGGGUAACCUGCCUCAAAGAGGGGGAUAGCCUCCCGAAAGGGAGAUUAAUACCGCAUAACAUUAGUUUUUCGCAUGAAGAACUAAUUAAAGGAGUAAUCCGCUUUGAGAUGGACCCGCGGCGCAUUAGCUAGUUGGUGAGGUAGUAGCUCACCAAGGCGACGAUGCGUAGCCGACCUGAGAGGGUGAUCGGCCACAUUGGAACUGAGAUACGGUCCAGACUCCUACGGGAGGCAGCAGUGGGGAAUAUUGCACAAUGGGCGAAAGCCUGAUGCAGCAACGCCGCGUGAGUGAUGAAGGCCUUCGGGUUGUAAAGCUCUGUCUUUGGGGACGAUAAUGACGGUACCCAAGGAGGAAGCCACGGCUAACUACGUGCCAGCAGCCGCGGUAAUACGUAGGUGGCAAGCGUUGUCCGGAUUUACUGGGCGUAAAGGAUGCGUAGGCGGAUAUUUAAGUCAGAUGUGAAAACCCCGAGCUUAACUUGGGGACUGCAUUUGAAACUGGAUAUCUAGAGUGUGGGAGAGGAGAAUGGAAUUCCUAGUGUAGCGGUGAAAUGCGUAGAGAUUAGGAAGAACACCAGUGGCGAAGGCGAUUCUCUGGACCAUAACUGACGCUGAGGCAUGAAAGCGUGGGUAGCAAACAGGAUUAGAUACCCUGGUAGUCCACGCCGUAAACGAUGAGUACUAGGUGUAGGGGGGUCCAACCCUCUGUGCCGCAGUUAACACAAUAAGUACUCCGCCUGGGAAGUACGAUCGCAAGAUU